rnacentral:rRNA from 1 species
UCGAGAAUCUUUCGCAAUGGGGGAAACCCUGACGACGCGACGCCGCGUGGAGGAUGAAGGCCUUCGGGUUGUAAACUCCUGUCAGCAGGGGAGAACAAGCUUUUAGUGAAUAACUGAGAGCUUUGACAGUACCUGCAGAGGAAGCCACGGCUAACUCUGUGCCAGCAGCCGCGGUAAUACAGAGGUGGCAAGCGUUGUUCGGAUUUAUUGGGCGUAAAGGGUCCGUAGGCGGCCUAGAAAGUCGGGUGUGAAAUCCCACAGCUUAACUGUGGAACUGCAUUCGAAACUUCUAGGCUCGAGUGUGAUAGGGGUAAAGGGAAUUCCCGGUGUAAGGGUGAAAUCUGCAGAGAUCGGGAGGAACACCAGUCGCGAAGGCGCUUUACUGGAUCACUACUGACGCUGAGGGACGAAAGCCAGGGGAGCAAACG